AUGUCAGGCAACGGCACAGGCAGUAAAACAGUCUUCUCCUCAGAAACUAGAAGCAGCAAAUCAAAAGCGUCUUCAAUGUUGCCUGUUCUUCUGUUGCUUCUCUUGCCAUAUGUACUCCAGUCAGCAUCAGUGGGAGCAUCCAACAAUAGGACUGAUGUGGAUUCCUUGCUGGCGUUCAAGGCAAGCCUAAGCAAUAAGCAUGGUGUCCUAGCUGCAUGGAACACAACAACUGACUACUGCCAGUGGCCAGGCAUUGGUUGCAGCCUUAAACACAAGCACAGGGUCACAGUGCUUAACCUCUCUUCGGAGGUCCUUGGUGGCACGAUCACACCUUCCAUUGGGAACCUCUCCUUCUUGAGAAUUCUAGAUCUCAGGCGGAACAAUCUGCAAGGUGAAAUACCUUCAUCCUUUGGUCGUCUGUCUCGCCUACGAUAUCUUAAUUUAUCCAACAACUCACUUCAUGGUGAUGUAAAUGAUGAAUUGAAGAAUUGCACCAGCCUUGAAAGAAUGCACAUUGGUUCAAACCGUUUGACUGGGGAAAUCCCUACUUGGCUCGGAGACUUGCUAAGUCUCAAAGCCAUAGACCUGCGCAAUAACAACUUCACUGGAACCAUCCCGUCAUCACUUACCAAUCUCUCAACACUACAAGGAAUCUAUUUCAGCACAAACCAACUUGAGGGUGCCAUCCCUGAGGGCCUUGGGAGGCUCGGUGUCCUUGCCUACAUAGGCCUGUCAGAGAAUCACCUCUCAGGCACCAUCCCUACAGCUCUCUUCAACCUUUCUUCUCUAAUAGGCUUGGGUUUGGCACUAAAUGAACUGAGCGGUAAACUGGCCCCAAAGUUUGGGGAUAACCUCCCAAUUCUAAACCAACUAUUCAUUGACCGUAACCACUUUACAGGAAACCUUCCAGCUUCUCUUGUCAACUCAACCGAGAUAUUUGCACUAGAUGUCUCCUUCAACAACUUAAUAGGAAGAUUGCCUCCAGAGAUUGGAAUGCAAUGUCCAAACUUCCUCAGUCUCGGACCAAAUCAGUUCAUGGCGACUACUCAGCAGGACUGGGAGUUCAUGACAUUGUUGACAAACUGCACACGCCUCAGUUUUCUUAACCUCCAAGGCAACAGGCUAGGUGGCGUGCUGCCUAGCUCAGUUGCCAACCUAUCAACACAACUUCAAUCAUUAUAUGUUGAAGGCAAUGAGAUUUCUGGAGAAAUACCAUUUGGCAUAGGCAAUCUUGUUGGUCUAAAUCAAUUGGAGCUAGCUGACAACCUGUUUAUUGGUGCUUUGCCUGACACCAUAGGGAUGCUAAGUUCACUACAAUUCCUGGACUUGGGAUAUAACCUACUGACAGGGUUCAUGCCAUCCUCCCUUGGGAACUUGACACAACUACUAAAUCUAUACACAGAUAACAACACAUUUGAGGGGCCUCUUCCAGCAAGCCUCGGGAGACUACCAGAGAUAACAGCAGCAACCUUUUCAAACAAUAAGUUCACAGGCCCAUUACCUAAAGACAUCUUUAACCUAUCGUCCCUAUCAGACGCGCUGGAUUUGUCAGGCAAUUACUUUGUUGGUCCUCUUCCACCUGAAGUAGGCGGCUUGACAAAGCUUGCACAGCUAUACUUAUCACAAAACAACUUGUCAGGGGCCCUACCUAAUGAACUCAGCAAUUGCCAAAGCUUGACAGAACUAGGGUUGGACGAUAACUCCUUUGAUAGUACCAUUCCCUCAUCUAUCAGCAAAAUGAGAGGUCUAAUGUUGCUAAAUCUUACAAAGAACACACUUUCAGGUGUGAUUCCUCAAGAUGCAAGCCUUGGAAGACUACCAGAGAUAACUUCAGCAACCUUUUCAAACAAUAAGUUCACAGGCCCAUUGCCCAAAGACAUCUUUAACAUAUCAUCCCUAGCAGAUGCCCUCGAUUUGUCGAGCAAUUUCUUUCUUGGUCCUCUUCCACCUGAAGUAGGCGACUUGACAAAGCUUGCACGCCUAUACUUGUCACAUAACAACUUGUCAGGGCCCCUACCUGGUGCACUCAGCAAUUGCCAAAGCUUGACAGAACUCAGGUUGGACGAUAAUUCCUUUGAUAGUAGCAUUCCAUCGUCUAUCAACAAAAUGCGAGGUCUGAUGUUGCUAAAUCUUACAAAGAACACACUUUCAGGCUUGAUUCCAAAAGAUUUAGGGCUAAUGGGUGGCCUAGAACAGUUAUACCUUGCACACAACAACUUGUCUGGUCAUAUCCCAGAAAGCUUGGAAAACAUGGCAUCUUUGUACCAGUUAGACCUGUCCUUCAACCUUCUGGAUGGCAAAGUUCCAUUACGGGGAGUGUUCAGCAAUGCAUCUGGAUUUUCAUUUGGAGGGAAUUUGAGGCUUUGUGGUGGUAUAGUAGAGUUACGUUUGCCCGCAUGCAAAACAAAAUCUGUGGGAUGUGGCUUUAGCAAACGCCAUUUGACGAUCACCCUAGUUACCGCAAUUGCUGGAGUAAUUCUGAUUUUGAGUUUGAUGCUUGUUUUCUUGACAAUGAGAAUGAAAUCAAAAACUCAGUCUACAACCACAGGAGGAUUUCAGUUGAUGGAUGACAGUCAUCCCAGAGUUACAUAUGUUGAAUUGGUCCAAGGAACAAGUGGCUUUGCAGUAAACAAUUUGCUUGGCAGAGGAAGAUAUGGAUCGGUGUAUAAGUGUUGUCUGCUGCUAAAAAAUAUGAUGACCACAGUAGCUGUAAAGGUUUUUGAUCUUCAACAGUCUGGCUCUUUCAAAAGCUUUCAAUCUGAGUGUGAGGCACUUAGUAAGAUCCGCCAUCGCAACUUGAUUAGUGUCAUAACUUGUUGUUCAAGCUCUGACUUGAAUCAAAACGACUUCAAAGCCAUCGUUUUCGAGUUCAUGCCUAAUGGGAGCCUAGAUAGGUGGUUACACAUGGAUGUACAUGUAACACAUCUACUCCAAGGCUUGACAUUGAUGCAGAGACUAAAUAUCACGGUUGAUAUUGCUGAUGCACUAGAUUAUUUGCACAACAAUUGUGAACCACCAAUAAUUCAUUGUGACUUGAAGCCAAGCAACAUUCUUCUCAAUGAGGAUUUAGUUGCUCACGUUGGGGAUUUCGGUCUUGCAAAGAUUCUUCCUGAAUCAACAGUUGAGCAGCUGAUCAAUUCAAAGAGCUCAGUUGGAAUAAGGGGAACAAUUGGAUACGUCGCUCCAGAAUAUGGCGAAGGUGGUCAAGUUUCUUCAUGUGGAGAUGUGUACAGCUUUGGAACUGUGAUCCUCGAGUUGUUUACAGGCAUGGCACCUACUCAUGACAUGUUCAGAGAUGGGUUGACCCUGCAGAAACAUGCCGAGAAUGCAUUUCCAGGGAUGCUAAUGCAGAUUGCUAAUCCAGCCCUACUGUCCAUUGAAGAAGCCAAUGCUAAUAGUUUGCAGGAUGGAAGCAACACAAUGGAACAUGCCAUAUUCUCUGUCAUGAAGGUUGCGCUAUCAUGCAGCAGGCAUGCACCAACAGAGAGAAUGUGCAUCAGAGAUGCUGCUGCUGCGAUUCACAGGAUAAGGGAUGGCUAUGUUAAAGCAAGACAAAAUGAGGGGGUUGUUACAGCUGCAUAUACCGCAAGGCAUUUUGCUGAAACAACCAGGGCGGCCCCUUGA
rnacentral:rRNA from 1 species